rnacentral:lncRNA from 1 species
UGGCGGGAUGGCUCCCGCCUAGAAGGGUGGCCAGAAGAAGGCGGUUCUGCCGUCCUCGAGGUCGCGACCCGGAGCGCGCCCAUGGAGUGGGCUUCCAGAACGGCUCCUCGCACUGAAAGAUGUCGACAUCUGCCAGGAAGGAGAUGGGGACUCCAGAGGUGCGCGCGACCCCAGGCGCGACAGAGCUGCUGGGCCAAAGGAAUAAGGAAGGCCCCGCGUGGUGUCCGUGUGCGAUUACCCAGAAAAGGUGCGAGGAGGAAGGUCACCACCAGGCUGUGUGCUUUGGUAACCCUGUCCCCGUUACCACGGUCAGAAACCUACAGUCGCUGUGGAUGACAGCUAACUGCUGAGAGUUGAAUGAAGUAUAAAACUGUUAAAAUUCUAAAUGAAUACUCUCAAGUGGGUUUUCCAAUGUAUUAAAAAGAACAAUACAUCAUGACCCAAAAGAGAGGUUCAUUUCAGGCAUGAAGGACCAUUCAUCGCUAAAGGAAAUCUAUUAAGAAAAGGUUGGCACACUAGUGGGUUAAGG